GACGAACGCUGGCGGCGUGCCUAAUACAUGCAAGUCGAGCGAAGUUUUUCUGGUGCUUGCACUAGAAAAACUUAGCGGCGAACGGGUGAGUAACACGUAAAGAACCUGCCUCAUAGACUGGGACAACUAUUGGAAACGAUAGCUAAUACCGGAUAACAGCAUUAACUGCAUGGUUGAUGUUUAAAAGUUGGUUUUGCUAACACUAUGAGAUGGCUUUGCGGUGCAUUAGCUAGUUGGUGGGGUAAAGGCCUACCAAGGCGACAAUGCAUAGCCGACUUGAUAGGGUGAUCGGCCACACUGGGGCUGAGACACGGCCCAAACUCCAACGGGAUGCAGCAUUAGGGAAUCUUCCGUUUGGGCGAAUGCCUGACGGAUCAUCUCUGCUUGAUUGAAGAGGGAUUUCUUUUCGUAAAGUCUUUGUUAGGGAAGAAUGAUUGUUUGUUCUUUUGUAUUUAGACGGUCCUUAUUGGAAAUUGCGGCUUUGUAUUUUGGCUUGUGGUGUUUGUGGUGGGUUGUAGCUGUUGUCGUUUGUUUUG
rnacentral:rRNA from 1 species